rnacentral:ncRNA from 1 species
CACCUCUGGAAAGAUCCCCGAGCCGUCGUAUGCCGCGGGGGCACCGAAGGAGAAAAGCGCCUAGCGCGCCCAAGCUCUCAGGUACCAACGACAGAGCGGGGA